rnacentral:rRNA from 2 species
GAACUCUGGUAUUGAUUGGUGCUUGCAUCAUGAUUUACAUUUGAGUGAGUGGCGAACUGGUGAGUAACACGUGGGAAACCUGCCCAGAAGCGGGGGAUAACACCUGGAAACAGAUGCUAAUACCGCAUAACAACUUGGACCGCAUGGUCCGAGCUUGAAAGAUGGCUUCGGCUAUCACUUUUGGAUGGUCCCGCGGCGUAUUAGCUAGAUGGUGGGGUAACGGCUCACCAUGGCAAUGAUACGUAGCCGACCUGAGAGGGUAAUCGGCCACAUUGGGACUGAGACACGGCCCAAACUCCUACGGGAGGCAGCAGUAGGGAAUCUUCCACAAUGGACGAAAGUCUGAUGGAGCAACGCCGCGUGAGUGAAGAAGGGUUUCGGCUCGUAAAACUCUGUUGUUAAAGAAGAACAUAUCUGAGAGUAACUGUUCAGGUAUUGACGGUAUUUAACCAGAAAGCCACGGCUAACUACGUGCCAGCAGCCGCGGUAAUACGUAGGUGGCAAGCGUUGUCCGGAUUUAUUGGGCGUAAAGCGAGCGCAGGCGGUUUUUUAAGUCUGAUGUGAAAGCCUUCGGCUCAACCGAAGAAGUGCAUCGGAAACUGGGAAACUUGAGUGCAGAAGAGGACAGUGGAACUCCAUGUGUAGCGGUGAAAUGCGUAGAUAUAUGGAAGAACACCAGUGGCGAAGGCGGCUGUCUGGUCUGUAACUGACGCUGAGGCUCGAAAGUAUGGGUAGCAAACAGGAUUAGAUACCCUGGUAGUCCAUACCGUAAACGAUGAAUGCUAAGUGUUGGAGGGUUUCCGCCCUUCAGUGCUGCAGCUAACGCAUUAAGCAUUCCGCCUGGGGAGUACGGCCGCAAGGCUGAAACUCAAAGGAAUUGACGGGGGCCCGCACAAGCGGUGGAGCAUGUGGUUUAAUUCGAAGCUACGCGAAGAACCUUACCAGGUCUUGACAUACUAUGCAAAUCUAAGAGAUUAGACGUUCCCUUCGGGGACAUGGAUACAGGUGGUGCAUGGUUGUCGUCAGCUCGUGUCGUGAGAUGUUGGGUUAAGUCCCGCAACGAGCGCAACCCUUAUUAUCAGUUGCCAGCAUUAAGUUGGGCACUCUGGUGAGACUGCCGGUGACAAACCGGAGGAAGGUGGGGAUGACGUCAAAUCAUCAUGCCCCUUAUGACCUGGGCUACACACGUGCUACAAUGGAUGGUACAACGAGUUGCGAACUCGCGAGAGUAAGCUAAUCUCUUAAAGCCAUUCUCAGUUCGGAUUGUAGGCUGCAACUCGCCUACAUGAAGUCGGAAUCGCUAGUAAUCGCGGAUCAGCAUGCCGCGGUGAAUACGUUCCCGGGCCUUGUACACACCGCCCGUCACACCAUGAGAGUUUGUAACACCCAAAGUCGGUGGG